GAGCAUUAAAUAUGAACAUGAUUAGUGGGGAGCAUCCGCUUCAUCAACGCUAACGCCUAUUAAAUGGAAAACAACAACAAACUACGCUUUAGCAGCUUAAUAACCUGUGAGCGUGCUUCUGCCUAGCAUCGCCCAUGUGCUAGGAUAGGGGCUCAACUUUAGUGGGAUACGCCGGUAGGUCUCCGCCUGGGGUCUACCGGAAGAAGACAAUCAGGCUGACCUGAAGGGGAGCCGGUUACGGGGCGUCUCUAGGGUGACAUCAAAACCGUGACUACACCCGUAGAAGCCUGUGUGGCGUUAUCUUCGGACAGGGGUUCGACUCCCCUC
rnacentral:tmRNA from 1 species